GGCUCUGGUUGCAGUUCUUUGCUAAAUCCGCCCAUUAUCCAAUACGGGAGUUAUUAUUGUCGUCGCUGUGUGGUCCAACCACGCGGAUACUCUGCUCUCCGCGCGAAACGUAUCACGUAUUCGGGAAUAUGGACGUUAUAGAAGAGGUAAUGGUUUUCUGAUUUUAGCGAGGAUUUUAACGGUUGGACGUGUUCGUGUGUCUGACAUGUCGAUCGUUGCGAGAAUUUUUAGCGGAUUUAUUGUAGCUCGUCAAGAUUGUUAUUAAUAUAAUCGUAAUAUGCUCGUUUCGAAGGGAUUCAAAGUGUAAAAAUCAAGUGAAACUGCUCGUGGAAGGAACGUAUUGCGUUCAGCAAAAGUUAUUGAAAGUGAUGCCGACUGUUCGAACGAUUAAAGGAAUUGAGAGAGUAAGGAAAUAAUAUGAAGAUCGCAUGAAUUUAUUUGAUUCAAUUUACGCGACCAGGGAAAGCAAUAUCUACUAACACUAAUGGCCUAUAACUGUCUCCUCGCGCGGACUAAAUCCGUGCAGAAAAUGGUGCCAGCACGAAUCGUCCAUUAACACGUAUCAGUAAAAGACCUAAUUAAAACCGCAGUGUACAAUAAUUCGUGGCUGUUGUACGUCGAUCGUAAUCAAUAAGGGUAGUAAACUUGUCAGUGAACGAUUAAAGUGAGCUGACGUUAAAGAGCUCGCUACAUUGUUCGCUGUUUGCUAACGAGUUCGCUGUGCACCUAUUAAAACCGUCCCGUCUGAUAUCGAAACAGUGGAAAUCAGCCGUGUGUUGCUGCUCACGAGGCACUCUAAUACAAAAAACAUGAGAACUCUAAUAAAUAACGUAACCUACCAAGUUCAUCGGUACAGCCGAUGCUCGUAAUGCGAGUCACGAAUCGCUCGCUUAAUAGCGAGUUCACUCGCUAACGAGUGAACAGUCAAGUAGAUACGUGUAAAACACCUAAUUCCGCGGCACUCUAACAGCACAACGUUUCCAUAUUUCAUGUUAGGUUGAACACGUUGACUGCCAUGAAAAACUCCAGCGUUCCAAGUAUCACUUCCUUUGUAGCUAAGAUAAGAAUGAUUAAUUAUUCAUCACAAUUUCCACGUUACAUUAUCUAGUUAUUUGAGCUACUGGUUAUUUCUAUUCAACAUCAGCUAUCUCGUAAGAUAUAAUUAAUUUCUAGAAACUAUGGAAUCAUCGAUAACCACAGUGGCAGUAACAAUAAUCGUACCGAGAACUGGUCGAAUGGCCAGAUGUAAAAUUCCGCGUUUCCCUUCAUUCGCUUUAUAUCAAUUCCUAUAUCGUCCGAUUCAUCAGUUUCUCAAUUUUUCUCUUUCUUUUUGUUUCUAUGCUCACUAAGAAAACAGUAUUAAAACUGCCAGCACGGUUAGUGUUAAUAAAGUAGAAUUCCAACCAGAUCGCAGCGAACUAAACAACCAGUCAACAUGAAGACGUCACAUCUAAAGUAAUCAGUGAAAGAACAUUACAAAGUCCAUUACAACCCUCGUUACAUUCACACAUAUACAUCGAACCGAAACACCAGAGUAGAAUAAACAUCGACUGAAAAACCAGCGCGAGCGGUAAAAACGACUAUCGGUUCAAAACGACACCAUUCUCGAUCACUGGAACGCGCGCAAAGAAAUCACCGACAACGAUCUAACGGUGCGACGGCCGACACGAAAUAGAUUUCACAAGCGGCGACGUGUCAUUAA